UACAGAGGGUGCGAGCGUUAAUCGGAAUUACUGGGCGUAAAGCGUGCGUAGACGGUUAUGUAAGUCAGAUGUGAAAGCCCCGGGCUUAACCCGUUAGGGAAGUGGACAUUUGGAGACUGCAUAGCUAGGGUGCGGAAGAGGGAAGCGGAAUUUCCGGUGUAGCGGUGAAAUGCGUAGAUAUCGGAAGGAACACCAGUGGCGAAAGCGGCUUCCUGGUCCAGCACCGACGUCAGGCACGAAAGCGUGGGGAGCAAACAGG
rnacentral:rRNA from 1 species